GACGAACGCUGGCGGCGUGCUUAACACAUGCAAGUCGAACGGAAAGGCCCUGCUUUUGUGGGGUGCUCGAGUGGCGAACGGGUGAGUAACACGUGAGUAACCUUCCCUGUACUUUGGGAUAACUUCAGGAAACUGGUGCUAAUACCUGAUAGGAGCUCCUGCUGCAUGGUGGGGGUUGGAAAGUUUCGGCGGUUGGGGAUGGACUGGCGGCUUAUCAGCUUGUUGGUGGGGUAGUGGCUUACCAAGGCUUUGACGGGUAGCCGGCAUGGGAGGGUGAACGGCGACAUUGGGACUGAGAGACGGCCCAGACUCGUACGGGAGGCAGCAGUGGGGAAUAUUGCACAAUGGGCGGAAGCCUGAUGAAGAAACGCCGGGAGCGGGAUGACGGCCUUCGGGUUGUAAACCGCUUUAGCCUGUGACGAAGCGUGAGUGACGGUAAUGGGUAAAGAAGCACCGGCUAACUACGUG
rnacentral:rRNA from 1 species